AUGUGUGCAGUGUCCUUAGACCAGAGACCAUCUAUAAUUCUGCUACCAUUUGUUCGAAAUACAUCUGUCUCCGAUCAAGUCCUCCUCUCAGAGUUGGUCGGUUUCACAAUGUCAUUGUUCAUUUCAGAAUGGACCCUUCUUCCACAAGGAAAGAGAUGGCAUCAACUUGAAGCCUUGGUGGCUUUCAUUAGGUUUUUGGGUCCUUCUCUCCUAGGCUGUACAUUAUCCUUUGUUUUGCUCACUCAUUUGAAAAUCAAUAAUCCCUACAUUUUUAUAUACAAGGCCACUAUGAAAAACACAUCUAUCUUGGUGUAUUUCUUCUCUAUCAACCGUACGGCGUCAUAG
rnacentral:rRNA from 1 species